rnacentral:tRNA from 1 species
UGGGGAUUAGCUCAAAUGGUACAGUGCUCGCUUAGCAUGUGAGAGGUAGCGGGAUCGAUGCCGCAUCCUCCA